GCCGAGGUGGCGGAACUGGCAGACGCACGGGUCUCAAAAACCCGCGACCGCAAGGUCAUGAGAGUUCGAUUCUCUCCCUCGGCA
rnacentral:tRNA from 1 species